CGCCCCUCCCCUUCUGCUGGCUUCGGCAAACAACUAGAGAGAGAAACUCCUGGUGGUUUAUCGACUGUUUGGCUGAGAGAUUGUUAGCUGCAUCCUGUGCUUCUGCUGCGACUCCGAGAGAACGGGGUUCAGGAUUCCUGCUUUGUCUGGUGUCCUGUGUCCUCCACCUCUCUUCCCCUCCCCAUCUACCUCUAUCAUUAUUGGACGCUCUAUCUUUCCUGUCACUCUAGUGCAUAUCUAUCUAAUUAUUGGACUCUAUCUUGUAUCCCAUCUAUCCCUGCUCUAUCUAGGGCAACAAGGCCCACCCUCUAUCUUGUAUCCCAUCUAUCCCUGCUCUAUCUAGGGCAACAAGGCCCACCCUCUAUCUUGUAUCCCAUCUAUCCCUGCUCUAUCUAGGGCAACAAGGCCCACCCUCUAUCUUGUAUCCCAUCUAUCCCUGAUCUGUCUAGGGCAACAAGGCCCACCACACAUGAAACCUGUUUUUGAACCUUUUUACAAGAAUUGAUUGUUUGGAGAUUGAUUACAAGAAACUUGAUAUCUUAUCUUCUGUCUUAUUGGACUCUAUUUUUGGACUUUCUGAUAUUUGCAUAUAAACUCUCAGCAGUGUAGAAUUCCUGGUGAGAUCUAUCUGUUCUAAUCCUGAGAGCAUCUCCGCCCUCACGCUCUAUCUCUCCGCUGUUCUGUCCUAUCCUGCACCCUUGCACUUAGAAUUGGAAACAACUAAUUUAACUAGAAAGCAUUGCUAUACAUCAUAUACAUUCAGAUCUGACAAACAUUUAACAUUCAGUGGACCAAAGAAAAAGAACAUUAUUUUAAAUAUAAUUCUGUACAUUUGGAAAAACAAAUUUGCUACAUACACAGACAAUUUGGAUUGACUUCAGAGAUCUUCCAUACUUUAUCAUUUUGUUCAUUUGAUAGAGAUCAGCUGUAUUUAUUGAUCUCCAAGUAACACAUCUUUAAUACAGCACUUAAUACAGUAAUUUAUAGUUCACUGUUUAGAUAAAUCUACAAAAAUCCUAAUUGGAUUAUAGUAAAAUCCAGAGCACGGUCAUUUAUCUCAGUUUGUUCCUGCUCCUCAUUCUGGACUAACUGAAGGUUUGUGAGCUGUAAGUAUUUCUGCAGCACUCAGUUACAGUUUGUUAUUUGUGUUAAAAUAUAUUAUAUAAAUUAAAGUAAAAGAUAACCGCUAGAAGUUCCUGGAGUGUGUUUAUUUCCAGUGAAUCAGCUGUUUCCACUCCUUUGCUGCUACCACUGGACUCACUGCAGGUUUGCUAAAGUCUUGCUAUAAAAGACCACAUCCAGCAUUGGAGAAGCAGUCUGCUGUCUGUCCUGAGCUGAGCUGAAAGGAGGAAUCCAGACAACAGAAGCCAUCUUCAUCCCACCACCUUCGCUGCUGCUGCUGUGUUCCAGAUUUGCACAUAAAAGUCGAUAUAAAACAGUCACAGAUGUGAAUAGAGCUUAGUGUCAUAUCUAAAAAAUUAUUAGAUUCAUACAGUUCUAUCUAUUGGAAAAGCUAAAGAGUAGCAUAAAACAAAAUAAGUAAUCUGGUGUAACAUCUGACGUAAGUGAUCUCUAUAUAUUUCUGGGUAUUGAAUACUUGUAAAAACUAGUUAUAAAUUGACUCCUGAGAAAUACUGAAAAUCCGUAUCUGAUAUUUUCUGUGUGCUAACAAAAGUUACUAGUUUAGUUUAACAGAUUGUAGCUAAUUCAUCUGGUUCUGUCAGAUUCAUAUUUGAAGAUUUGAGGAUUUCUUAGAUAUUUUAAAGAAUUUGGUUAAUUGAAGAUUUGAACAUUAAAUAUUUUUAACCACUUGCAGUGACAUUACAUAACUUUUCCCUUUAAGAGUUAGUGCAUAUCAGAUUAACAAGUGUAAACCGAGUUGAUUAUUUACGUCUAUAAACUUCGUACCAAAACAGUUUUAAUAGUUUGGGGGUCAACUGAUAGAUACUAGCUGAUUGUAUAGCCUAAAUAUAUUUUCUGGUAUAAUUACUUCUGAAUAGUCUGUACAACAGUUUAAAUAACUAAUCUGUAUAAUUUCAGAUAACAAUAUAUAUCAAUUCUUGUGCAUAUUUGGAAUAAAGUAUCCAAGAACCAC